AAUUCACAGAAACUUUUCUGUAUUCCUUUCUCUAAUAAAUGUUAAUAAAUAAAUGUUAUAUAUCUUGUAAUGUAUCAUUCAAUUCAUGGUCUGUGAGAUAUUUUUCUUUAAUCCUUCUUUUCUUGUCAUUUCAUUUUCCUUUUUUUGUAUGUGGAGAGGAGAAGAACUGCUGGAAGAAAGCUUGAAGUCUUUCUGCCUAGAACUCUAAAGGCUUUUGCAGAUUAGUGACUUUUUAAGAGUCCUGAUUUACCUUAGCAGAACUGCUGCUAGGAAGAAGUGAUAAAGGGUUUAAUCUACUUCAGUAAUAAUCUCAUUGAUUUUCAAGAAUCCUUUCUCUCCCUUCUUUAUCUCCUCUUCCACAUGGCUUACAAAUUGAUUCCUAAUAUCAGUAAGUCUUACUUGCUGACCAUGUCACUCCCCUGCUCUAGAACGUUCAAUGACACCUUAUUGCCUUGAAAUAAAAUACAAACAAACUCUC